rnacentral:rRNA from 1 species
GACGAACGCUGGCGGCGUGCUUAACACAUGCAAGUCGAACGGAAAGGCCUGCUUUCCCCUGUGGAUUGCGGGUACUCGAGUGGCGAACGGGUGAGUAACACGUGAGUGAUCUGCCCCCAACUUGGGUAUAAGCCUGGGAAACUGGGUCUAAUUCCCGAUAGGACUGCAGGGUGGUGCCUGUGGUGGAAAACGAUUUUCUAGUGGUUGGGGAUGAGCUCGCGGCCUAUCAGCUUGUUGGUGGGGUAAUGGCCUACCAAGGCGGCGACGGGUAGCCGGCCUGAGAGGGUGGACGGACACAUUGGGACUGAGAUACGGCCCAGACUCCUACGGGAGGCAGCAGUGGGGAAUAUUGCACAAUGGGCGGAAGCCUGAUGCAGCGACGCCGCGUGGGGGAUGACGGCCUUCGGGUUGUAAACUCCUUUCGACCGCGAGGAAGCCACCUGGUUGGAAGGGUGGUGACGGUAGUGGUAGAAGAAGCACCGGCUAACUACGUG